rnacentral:misc_RNA from 1 species
CAGCUGAUUAUAUACACAAAAGAGAAGAAUGCGAUCAUGUUCACAUAUCCUCCUCAGGGAUCUUACACCAGCACUGGUUUGGUGAUCUCUUCCAAAUUGCCAAGAUUUUCAGAUGACUACACACUUAGCAUAGCAAGUGCAGAUCCCAAAUCAAUUUCUGCAGGAAAACCAGUGCAGUUUACCAAGAGCGUAACCCAAUGGUUCACCAAGGAUGGCGUUUUAGUGGAAGGUUUGUUCUGGAAAGAUGUUGAAGCUCUAAUAAAUGAUUAUGCAGGGGAACCAAAGAAAAACAAGUGAGCUGCUCCUCUAACAAUAUUUCAUAGGUCAAUGGUUGGACAGAUAGAGACCCAUGAAUAUUGAGAUUUGAUAUGGAUGGUCG